rnacentral:rRNA from 1 species
AGUGAACGCUGGCGGUAGGCCUAACACAUGCAAGUCGAACGGCAGCACAGGAGAGCUUGCUCUCUGGGUGGCGAGUGGCGGACGGGUGAGGAAUACAUCGGAAUCUACUCUGUCGUGGGGGAUAACGUAGGGAAACUUACGCUAAUACCGCAUACGACCUACGGGUGAAAGCAGGGGAUCUUCGGACCUUGCGCGAUUGAAUGAGCCGAUGUCGGAUUAGCUAGUUGGCGGGGUAAAGGCCCACCAAGGCGACGAUCCGUAGCUGGUCUGAGAGGAUGAUCAGCCAACCUAGAACUGAGACACGGUCCAGACUACUACGGGAGGCAGCAGUGGGGAAUAUUGGACGAUGGGCGCAAGCCUGAUCCAGCCAUACCGCGUGGGUGAAGAAGGCCUUCGGGUUGUAAAGCCCUUUUGUUGGGAAAGAAAUCCAGCUGGCUAAUACCCGGUUGGGAUGACGGUACCCAAAGAAUAAGCACCGGCUAACUUCGUACCAGCCGCCGCGGUAA